UUUUUUUUUUUAAGAUUUUUUUCUUUUAGGUUUUUAUUUCAUUUAAUUUGAAGAUUAAUUUAUGUUUAUAUAUAUAAUAUUGUAAAAUGGGAUGGUAUGAAGCUCGCCUUGUAAGGACUGAGUCAAAUCUCAAAUCCAUGAUGUAGCAAUGUUCAGUGCAUAAGAGGUGAUUUCUGUCCAUAGCAUCCAUCACUGAUUUUCUUCUCUAUAAUUCAAAACAUGAGCUAUUAAAGGACCUCUAGGGGUUUUCUCAAAAUGGCCAAUUUCCCCUGCUUAUACCCCCUUUGCUGUGAAUCUUCAACUUGGCAACCAGUUUAUAAUAUAGCUAAAUUCUUGAUACUGAUUCAAAAUCAAAACUGGAUGCUGCAUAUUAUCAUAAAAAAAGAGGUCCCUAUGGCCAGUAUCAUCUGAAGUUAAUAGUAUAUUUCUCAAUAAACACUGAUUAACAAGCAGACUUUAGGACACUGAACAAAGAAAGAAAAGCCAAAGAAGCAGUCUUCCUCUUUCUAGGAGAAAGAUGAGCCAAAAUUUGUACUGGAUUUCCUUUAUAUAUAAGUAGGUGUACUUAUUUCUACAUAUCAACCAAUAACACAAGCAAGUACAAAAACAAAACAAAACAUAAACCCACAAAUACCAUUCAUGAUCCUGAUGACUAAACAACCAAUUAACUCAUUUCUUGGAGACCCUCUUAUAAGUAUAAACUACGAAAUUGUGACUGUCGUUAUGUCAGUGGUAAUAUAGUUGGGGAUAUAGGGCAUAUACAUAAACUGCACCGGAAUAUAGUUUAUAAUGAAGCUGAAUUUGCUAAAGAUUGGUAUUUUAGGAAUUUAGAUGAGGGAAGAAUGUGAGAAACAAAGAGGAGCCUGGGUUUUAUUGUCUCACAAAUUUGAUUCUAAAUUCCAGUUCCACCACUUACUAGCUGCCACUGCCAAAGAGAUCAGAAAUACGUAACUUCUCCAGACCCCUGUGAGGAUUGGAAGUGAUAAUCAUUUGGUUGGUGCCCACUAUGUGUACUGAGCUAACCUUUAUGGAUGCUAUUUUAUGUAAUCCCCAGAGCAAACCUGAAGGGCUGUAAAAGAUUGUACUUUGAUGAUCUCCGUUUUACAUAGUAUGACACCAGGACUCAGAGGUGAAGUGCACAUCAAUACCAUUGCACUAAAUUGUCUCCUCACCAGCUUUCUCGCAGGAAAUACAAGGACCUAGUACAGGACGUGGAAAGAACAGGUGCUUUAUAAACUGUGGCUCUUUGGACUAGGGUGAUAAGAAAGGCUUCAAGGAGGACAAGAUUUCAGCUGGAUUUUAUUUUUUAUUUAUUUUAUUUUAUUUUAUUUUUUAUUUUAUUUUUUAUUUUAUUUUAUUUUAGAGAGAGAGAGCAUGGGCAGAGGCAAAGGGAGAGAGAGGACAGAUCCCAACACGGGGCUUGAUCUAAGAACCCUGAGACCAUGACUUGGGCUGAAAUAAUGAGUCAGAUGCUUAGCUGGCAUGCCAAUUUCACCUGGAUUUUAAAGCCUAAGUCAGAUUCAAAUAAACAGGUGGCAGUUGAAGGAUGCAUAAAUUGGGGAAUAAGGAUUGUCGAAGCAUCUUUGGUAUGUCAUAAGCUGACCACAGUGGCUAGACAAAAGAUAUAUAUGCCAGGGACUAGUGGGACCCUUUGCAUGGUGAUGGGCAGCUUAUUUAAUGAAGAUUAUAAAUCUAUUUCAUCAGGCUAAACAGGUCACCAAAGAGGAGAGAGAGUGCUUACACAACUGACAGAUUCAUAAGUUCAAGAAAAAACUCAUUAACAAAAACACAGUUAAAUUCAGAGGUUGUGAAUAUGACAGCUGAUAGGGUCAGAAUAAACUUCUCUAUCAAGUGAAUGUCUCUCCUCUAUUAUUCCUUCAGCAGUGUCCUUUAAGACCUGAAAGGUGGGGGCAGAAAUUAAAAACAGAAGGAAGAAAGUGUCUUCAAUCUAUCUUUUGGAUCCACACUAAACUAACCCUACCUCUCCAUGCCACCAGCUGGGUGAAAACACAUAAAUCACAAUUCACAAAAUCCAUUAAAAAAUAAAAACAAA
rnacentral:lncRNA from 1 species